ensembl:lncRNA novel transcript
AUAACCCAUAACUAACCACAACAAUAUGGGUAAAUCUCGUAAACAUGAUGCUGAGCAAAAGAACCCACAUGUAAGAAAGUGUGUAGGAUAGGAUUUCAUUCAUAUCAGGUACGAACGCAGCCGCAGUCACUCUAUGCUAGAGCCCUGGGAGAGUGAGAGACAGGUGCAUGCAAGGGACUUCUGGAGUGCAGCCAAUGUCCUGAUCCCUGACCUGGCUGCUGGCUACAGGGUUGUGCAGUUAUCAAGAAACUAAGCAUAUGGUCAAAACAUUCAAGAAACACAGCGGGAAAUUCUAUGACUCACACACACGUGUUAAGAAUGAUGUGAAAUGGAGCACAAGGUUUUCAGUGUUACAUUUCUACCUUAAAAUGGUCCACCGUAUGUGUUACCUUUCUACCUUGACUGUACCUUACAUAUGACUUAAUAAAUCAUAAUAAAUAAA